AGCGAACGCUGGCGGCAGGCCUAACACAUGCAAGUCGAACGAAGUCUCCGGACUUAGUGGCGGACGGGUGAGUAACACGUGGGAACGUGCCUUUAGGCUCGGAAUAACUCAGGGAAACUUGUGCUAAUACCGAAGGUGCCCUUGGGGGGAAAGAUUUAUCGUCUUUAGAGCGGCCCGCGUCGGGUUAGCUAGUUGGUGAGGUAAAGGCUCACCAAGGCUACGAUCAGUAGCUGGUCUGGGAGGAAGACCAGCCACAUUGGGACUGAGAGACGGCCCAAACUCCUACGGGAGGCAGCAGUGGGGAAUCUUGCGCAAUGGGCGAAAGCCUGACGGAGCCAUGCCGCGUGGAUGAUGAAGGUCUUAGGAUUGUAAAAUCCUUUCACCGGUGAAGAUAAUGACUGUAGCCGGAGAAGAAGCCCCGGCUAACUUCGUGCCAGCCGCCGCCGUAAAAC
rnacentral:rRNA from 1 species